UUAAGGCAGAUGGACAGUGUGUCAUUUGCAUAUCUGUAAAAAUCUUCCCAGGGACUGGGAGUGAAAUCCAGGUUUGCUGAUGUCAACGGGAUUUUUGCCACAGAUGGCCAGGUGGGCCCAGCUCUCUCCCUAAACACCUGCAUGGAAAAGUCCAGAGACCUUAAGGGACAGCAGUGAUUGGAAGUACCAACAGGGAUGGCCAAUCCCAAAGGCAGAACAUCCCAGAGCAGGUUUUGGGAUGUCCAGCUCCUGAUGGGGAGAGCCCAUUUGUCAAAAUGGACUUUGUUAAACAAACAAGUGAAAAACAACUCUGCCUUCAAGCCUUGUUGAAACAAUGAAGUAGCAGGAAUCUCCUUGGAGAGCAAUGGAUCACAGCACUUGUCAAGAUGAUUUCCAAAUCAAAGAUGACUUCCAAGGAGCAGCAAGGUCCCUGGUCCAUCUGUCCAAUGACAGCACUGACAUUGCUAAAUGUCACAAAGUGAAGCUGCCAGAGUUGCUCCACGUGCUGCUUCCAGUAUCCUCUUGGAGCUGAAAUUCCUGUGUGCGCAUGCAGCAUCCAGAUUCAUCACACUAAAUCAUCAGUGUGGCAAAGUUGUUCCCAGUCAUUGCUCUGUUUAUUUUCGAUGUCCCAUCCUAUCAGCUCAAAUUGAGUUGGGAAGAGGUAAAGCAACAAGAACAGGCAGUUUUUAAGGUUCCAUCAAG